AUAAAUCCAGAAUGAAAACCUUUCAAAACAUUCCUCCUCCCCCCACUCAAACUCCAACAAACCACAAUGAGACACAACUCGGACCUUCAAUCAGGUUAUCACCCUUCAAUAUAAUCAAUACUCAGUCCAUCAAGGGCUCUGGAAGGCCACACUGAGGUCACCCCAAAACCUUCUCUUGUCCAGGCUGAGCAACCCCAAUUCCCUCAGCUUUUCCUCCCAGCAGAGCUGCUCCAGCCCUUUAAUAAGUUCAUGUCCCUGCUCUGGAUUGGCUCCCCAGAACCCCUGGAGCCCCACUUUCCUACCUUUGACACACUUGAACACGAGCUCUGCCCUCUUCAGGCACCAUGGAAUGGUCAUCUCCUAAAUGAAGAAAUAAAAAGCCUCAAUGCCCCACAAAUCUAACCAGCAAGAAUAGCAGGGAAAUUAUUAAAAGUGAUAUAUUUUUUGCCCUAGAACAUAAUUUUCAAGCAGGAUUUGGAACCUAGUCUUCAGAACAUUCUAGGCAAGGUGACCAUAAAAGCACCACUACUCCUUAUUGCUAGGACAGCCAAUGUCAGAACAAUAUUAUACAUUUUUAAGCUGAGAUGUUGGAUAAAAAUGCUGUCAAACCCACUGGAAACUGGGCUGUUCAACCCCCCUGUGGAGCUCCAGAAAAAGUCUAAUAUUGAACUGAUAAUUGUCUGGUUCACACUUCAGCAAAUCAAAGCAGGCUCCUGACCACAUCCUAAAAGCCCAAUAAUGACUCCUAACUGUUCUUGAUUUUCUUUAAGGUUUCUCGGCGUACCCACAACCUUCAGUAAAACCUUCUCUCUAACACUGGAACUGGAAAAAGCCCUUCCUUCUUAAGAUGCAUUUAUGGCAAGAGCAAGAACAAAGUUCAUCUGCAUCUGAUGAAGGUGUUUCAGAUAGUAACAGCCAGGAAAUCCUUACCUAAAGUUAAACAGCAAAACAUGACAUGAAAACCACAGUGGUUUAAGAUAUGGCCACAAGCACUGGGCUAAAUUAUUUAAGUUUAAAGUUCACAAAACAUUUUUGGCUGUAUGCUACAAAGCCAAUUACACCAUGAUGAUGUAAUUCCAUCAGAGACAGAAUGACUCACUGCAAACACUUCCCAGGAGGAACAAAACAAUAUCUGUUUGUUUCUGCUGUACUCUUAAACAUGAAGAUGAGCACUUCCUACUCUGAAUACAGGAAUAUAGAUGUGGAAACCCAUUUAUCACUCUAAGUACUUACAAAGCUUUCUAUUCACUAAAGCCAGUCUCUGUUUUGACAUGUCAAAUACAAAGUGUAACCUGUUCUUAUUAGAAAGCUUGAUUUCAGGAUUAAAGACAGUUUUUUGAGAGGCAAGGUAAUCUAAGAAUGCUCAUUGAUAACACAACUGAUAAACUGAAUGUGUGGCUUCAUUAAGCAACUACUGAAAGGCAUAGUUCCUCCUCAGGUGGGAGGAUCUACCACCCCACAGAAUACACUUUAUGUUAAAAACAGGUUAAGUUUGAAAUAUCUUUUCAUAAAGCUUUCCUUCGGUAAAUCACUGCUGCUUUUAGGGUAUGCAUCACAUUAAUCAGACAGAACAGUGCUGGACAAGUUUGGGUUUGUAAUUUUGUUGUGGCCGAUCUUUGACUUUUUUUAAUUUGUAAGCAUACUGGAGGCAACACUUGGUGUUUAUUAUAACUCAUCUGUCCAUGUGUACUUUCUGUCACAAGUAAGGUUUAUUGUUGGUUUUGAUCACUGCUUUAGCAUAGUAAAAACCAAGUGACUAACAAGAACAUUCUCUCUCACAGAAGCACCUUGAGCAAUCAGUGAUGGGAACUGAGCCUUAAAACGACUGAUUAACACAGCAGGAUAUGACACCAUUCCUUGGAUUAUCUUAGAGGAACAGAGAUUAAAUUUUGUGGGCACUCAGGGAAAUAACAGAAUGUUGCUCCAUGCAAGCCACAUGAACUGAAGAUGACACAGCAGUGAUUCAAUUCUAAUCCAUCUUCACACACCAAAGUUUGCAUGAAUUCACCACAUCACCAGAAGUUUUCUCUGGUGUGGAAAUGAUGGAGGAUCAGGUCUAUAGACUCUCCAGCUCUUCAGGAUAGGAGGCAUAUGGCUAUACUCCCUGCCUUCCCAACCCUCUUCUUCUCUGUGAGGCAGAUGUGACAGAGAAAAGAGGCUGCCAAUAGUUUUAAAUUGCUGCGCACUGAAAAACAUUACAGCUGAUUGAGAGACAAGCCCCACAUCAGAGUCCCACUACAGAAGAAAAUACAGAACUCAGCAGUAAGUAGGAACACAAAAAGCACUCGCAAUAUGCUGCCUUUUGCCCAGCCAGUAUCUGAGGGGACUUAGAGAGGAAACAGGGACAGAAAUUAGACAGUGAAGGAGGAGAGAAUUCAAAGUGAAGAUGAAAUUUGGUUGCUCCUGUGUAGGGCUGAGGUGGUAGAAGAGCUACAAAAGGUAAAGGUGGUGUUUAGAUUUAUAGAACUCUAAGCCAAGCUUUGCCAGUUCUGCUAAUCCUAAAACUUAAUGUUUUACAGCUAAUGAUAAUUAAAAGUGGGGAUCUGGUAUCACUACUGCAUCAGCAGCUCUGAAGGUAGAGUUUCUAAGCAAGAGCUUCUAGUUGUGUAGUCUCAUCUUUUAUUAAUACUUGUACAACUGCAGUGAGCUGGAUCCAGGAAGUGAAUUGUCCAAAAGGAGGAGUGGAAAUAAAACCUUCAAGUGA